rnacentral:snRNA from 1 species
AUUGAUGUUCAACAUACUCAAAAC